UCUGCUACAUUUUGGGAAAAAAAUCUACCUUGAUUCCCUGACACAGCAGAGGCUGUUUAUCCCAAAAAUGUUUAACACAGCAUUUUUUCCGUUCAUGUAACAUGAUUUGUACACACACAUGCAGCAUACACAGGCAUGUCGAAUAUCAGGCCAGUUUUCACUUUUUAGCUUCAAGAGCGUGUUUCUUGUCCAUAAGCCACAUGGGUUGUUUUUUUUUUUGCAGUACUUUAUUCUGAGUGACAUCUUUUUGGGGGGCACAGAAAUGUACAAGUCAAAAGACAUUUACUAUUUAUACAAAUACUUCAUGCUUACUGCUCAUAAGGAGCAAUUUAAAAUGACAAAUCGCUAUUCUAUAAAUCAGAUAUAGGCAGACAACUUACUGGACUCCUUCCAAGAUACACUGAGACAUGCACCAAAAUAUCAGCGUGUAAUUACUUUCAUUAUGUAGUCCAAUUAAUCUGAAAACAACUGAGACUGUAAAGAUCGCAUCGUGCUAAUUUUUACUGACAUAAACCCCAAUAUUAUUUAUAGAAUUGGUUGUCCUCUGUUUACUUGAUCAAAAUGUGGACUAAUCAGGCGCUGCUUUUCUAGAAAUAGUUCUUGAGUAUGGUAAUUUGCCAUCUUCUGAGAUUUUCUUUAUUUAGCCAGAACACAAGCACAUAUUUUAAUUCAUGGCAAUAUUUUAAGCUUACGUCCGAUUUAGAGCCAAUGACUUAACUAAAAAUGUUCCUAAAGACCAUUAAACAUGUAUCUGAAAGGUGUGAUCUCUUGUGUGAACCCGUGUUCUAUUUCUGGUAUUUCCAAGGUGUUUUGCUGUUUGACCACAACAUUUUUACAAGAAGAAUAAGCAAUUAUUUUGAAGUUGAAAACUAUUUUGAUGAUGAACUAAUCCUCACCUUUGACAUUGCUUCAGCGGGAGAAAGGAUAGAUGGUGGCUGUGGGCAUAUAACUGUUUUGGACCCUCUAUUGUCAAUAAUUUAGACAUUCUUUGUCUUUUGAAAGCAAUGAUUUAUCUGCCUUUAUUUGUUUCAGAAUAUGCUUCCUUCUUCCUUUAAAAUGGAGAUUCAUUUUUGCACAUCUGGAGCUCUUCAUAAAGCGAAAAGAAGUACAAUUAAUCUUAAAAUGAUAGUCUCCAGAUCACUGACACUUGACAAAGCUGUGAGUCUUUCUGGCUGGUGUUAACAGUGAACUGAGAGCUUCCCACAGACCUACCAGCAGUGACUCCUAGUUCUCUUUCCUGAAAGAAACCUCCUGGGAGGGACCUUGUCAAAACCCUGUUGGAAACACAAGUGUGCUGCAUCGACAGCACCACUGCAAUCUGCGCUCUCACUGACUUUUUCCAAGGAGCUCGGUGGAUUUAUGAGGAAAGCUGAUGCAGUGGGAAUCUCCAUGAGAUGCUCUUACCUGGCUAGAGUCCACUUUGCUAUUCCUUUCUUGAAGACCUGUGGGCCUCAUUGACUACCUGACAGGCUGCCUGUUUGAGAAAGUUCCCUUAAACCAAUGGAUGAAAGAGCCCUAGGACCUGCGAAGGGCUGGAAGAGCUUCUGUCAGCUGCCAUGGGAUUAGGUCAAACUAUACGGGAGCAGGAAGGAUGGCACUGCUCAAGACACUGGUCCAAAUUUGUACACCUGAUUGAAACUCCACAAAGCCUGAGAACUUACACAAAGAUAAUUCAUUGUUAUACUUAACGGGAGGUUGGUUGUAUUGCAUCAGGUUCCCUUUAGGUUGCAGAGUACUUGGACAAAGCAGAUUCUUGCCACACCAACAGGCAUCCUUUAAAAGCCUGGCAAUACUUCUGUAUAAAGAGAGACCACAGCUGCUUGAUUCAGAAAGCAGAUAAAAAAGUAAAUGUAUGAAUAGAGCCAAUAUGGAGUGGAAGAUGAACAAAACAAUAAAUGUAAUAGAAAAUCAA